rnacentral:snRNA from 12 species
GGGUAUGUACUUACUACAUAACGUAUCAAUCUUUCGCCUUUUACUAAAGAUUGCCGUGUAGUAGGUACAAUAAAUACGUUAUACCACAAAUUUUUGUCGUGCCUUCCGGGCGCGU